UACGAAGGGGGCUAGCGUUGCUCGGAAUCACUGGGCGUAAAGCGCACGUAGGCGGCUUUCUAAGUCAGGGGUGAAAUCCUGGAGCUCAACUCCAGAACUGCCUUUGAUACUGGAAAGCUUGAGUUCGGGAGAGGUGAGUGGAACUGCGAGUGUAGAGGUGAAAUUCGUAGAUAUUCGCAAGAACACCAGUGGCGAAGGCGGCUCACUGGCCCGAUACUGACGCUGAGGUGCGAAGGCGUGGGGAGCAAACAGG
rnacentral:rRNA from 1 species